UUGUAUUGUUUCUUAAUCUUAUAGUAAAUAUACAAGGCCCGAAACGCUUGCAAAGCCAACAAACUGAUACAGAACGGGGUUCUGUUGGGGUUCUUUUGGCUUUGCAAGCGCCACUGGAGCCUUGUGUUCGGUUUGGUGCAAAGAGCGGACCCAGAAUCUGAGGCAUCAUCUACAGCUACUGAUUAGAGCUGGAAAAACCUUGAUGUAACAUCGAUAAUAUAGAUGUUGCCAAAAAUGUUGCAACAUCGACAUUCGUCACUUGCAACCGGGUAAAAGAGGAAGCAUCAACGCGUGGUAAGAGUAAUUGGUGGUGUUGGCAGGCAUCGUGGGAGAAUUAUGGACACAUUUUUGAAAGAACAUCGAAAGUGUUUCUAUUGUCACCAUCGGCGUUUUCGGAACCACUGGAGUACGAAAUAGUGCAUACUUUUAAGGCUGAUCAUUCAAAGAACAUAAAAAAUCAAGAAAUCCGAAAAUUUUUGAAACGUAGCAGCUUUAUUGAUUUAUUUAUUGUUGGAAUAUUUAAAUUAGAAAGAAAUAUUAUAUAUUAUAUUAUUAAUGG